rnacentral:rRNA from 1 species
UACGGAGGAUGCAAGCGUUGUCCGGAAUGAUUGGGCGUAAAGGGUCCGUAGGUGGUGAUGUAUGUCUAUUGUCAAAGGUUCUGGCUUAACCAGAGACAGGCAGUAGAAACUGCAAAACUAGAGUGCAGUCGGGGCAGGGGGAAGUCCUGGUGUAGCGGUGAAAUGCGUAGAGUUCAGGAAGAACACCGGUGGCGAAAGCGCCCUGCUAGGCUGUGACUGACACUGAGGGACGAAAGCUAGGGGAACGAAUGGG